AAGAAAGAAACAAGUAAGCAACUAAUCAUUUCAAAGGAUUUACAUGAUGCAGAGUAUUAAUGGUCUUCAUCCAUGAAAAUAAUCAUUUCAAGGAUGUAUUGUUCGUGGAUAAUGGUGACCCAUGGAAUCCAAAGCCGGAAACUAAGUCCAAGGUGAUGUCCACGUUGAAAGUUGUUCACAUGGUUUUGAAAAAGAUGGCAUAUUUAUCUCAAUAACUUUUGGCCAGGGAAUGUUGCAAUAGUGGAUGGAGAGUUAGAAAACAAAAGCAUUUGGUGAUGGAAAACUGAAAUAGCACAUCACUGCAGAGUCUGGUGUGAUGAUUAAGAAGAUUGGUGAUGACACUGAAUUCAUCAUUUUGGCAAGUGAUGGUUUGUGGAAGGUAUAGAAGGAAAUUAGUGACUUUAUAUUAAGAAAGAUGAAUAAUUUGGUUUUAUUCAAUGCAUAAAUUAAUUUCAUAUUUUACUGAUUACCAUUUAUCAAAUUUUCAAUGUU